rnacentral:lncRNA from 1 species
GACAAAUAUUCACAGCCAAGGAUAUGACCUAGCAAGUCUGAAUGCACUUUCUCAUUUUUCUCAUAUUUUCACAUUUAUCUCUCCUUCAUUCAGAAGCAUUUGUCAAUCUGCCUCUAUCCAUGGCAGCCCUUCUUAUUUUAAUGUUCUCACUCUUACCCACAAACUAAAUUUACAUUUCUUGCUGUUAUAAAUUUUAUAUUUUUGUGUGUGGAGAAACAUUCCAUCAAGAAGACUGAAGCCCAGUAAACUCCCAAAGACAAGACUUUCAGAAGGUCUGAAGACAAGUCACAUCAAACCACUGACCUAAGAAAAAUGGAAUUAAUGUUGCAACUGCAUUCUCCUAACUUCUCACUGGACUUGAGAUGGCAGGUAUGGUCAAGAGAGACACUGGAAGAUGGAAGUUACUUCAGUGUUCCAGUUGCUGGUGUAGCCAGGGCUUCACAGAAUUUGUCACAGGUGGUUUCCUUUGACCCUUGAAACACUUCCAGGACCCAGUUUUUAUCUUAUAGGUGAGGAAACUGAACUCCAAAAGAACUGAAGUGACUCAAUUAAAGUCAAAGGACUAUUCCC